UACGGAAGAUGCGAGCGUUAUCCGGAUUUAUUGGGUUUAAAGGGAGCGUAGGCGGGCGGAUAAGUCAGUUGUGAAAUCCGGCGGCUCAACCGUCGGACUGCAGUUGAAACUGUCCGUCUUGAGUCGGCAUGAGGACGGCGGAAUUCGUGGUGUAGCGGUGAAAUGCUUAGAUAUCACGAAGAACCCCGAUUGCGAAGGCAGCCGUCUGGGGCCGUACUGACGCUGAGGCUCGAAAGUGCGGGUAU
rnacentral:rRNA from 1 species